rnacentral:rRNA from 1 species
AAAGGGGAGCAAUCCCUGAGUAGAGUGGCAAACGGGUGAGUAACACGUGGGUGACCUGCCUUCGAGUGGGGGAUAACGUUCCGAAAGGAACGCUAAUACCGCAUGACAUCCUGCUUUUGGAAAAGCGGAGAUCAAAGCUGGGGAUUCGCAAGAACCUGGCGCUUGAAGAGGGGCCCGCGCCUGAUCAGCUAGUUGGUGAGGUAACGGCUCACCAAGGCUACGAUCAGUAUCCGGCCUGAGAGGGCGGACGGACACACUGGGACUGAGACACGGCCCAGACUCCUACGGGAGGCAGCAGUGGGGAAUUGUUCGCAAUGGGCGCAAGCCUGACGACGCAACGCCGCGUGGAGGAUGAAGAUCUUCGGGUCGUAAACUCCUGUCGAGUGGGAAGAAUUGCUCCAGGGUGAAUAUCUCUGGAGUUUGACGGUACCACUAAAGGAAGCCCCGGCUAACUCCGUGCCAGCAGCCGCGGUAAUACGGGGGGGGCAAGCGUUGUUCGGAAUUACUGGGCGUAAAGGGCUCGUAGGCGGCCAACUAAGUCGGAUGUGAAAUCCCCAGGCUCAACCUGGGAACUGCAUCCGAUACUGGAUGGCUUGAAUUCGGGAGAGGGAUGCAGAAUUCCAGGUGUAGCGGUGAAAUGCGUAGAUAUCUGGAGGAAUACCGGUGGCGAAGGCGGCAUCCUGGACCGACAUUGACGCUGAUGAGCGAAAGCUAGGGGAGCAAACGGGAUUAGAUACCCCGGUAGUCCUAGCCCUAAACGAUGAAUGCUUGGUGUAACGGGUAUCGAUCCCUGUUGUGCCGAAGCUAACGCAUUAAGCAUUCCGCCUGGGGAGUACGGUCGCAAGGCUGAAACUCAA